ACUCACCGCCGGCCCUGCGGCUCCGCUCCGCCGCGGCUGCGCCCGGCGCGGGCGGCGGGAGGGCGGGGAAAAGGGGCCUCGCCGCGGGAGGAGCGGCUCGGUGUCGGCAACAUGGCAGCGUCCAGCCGUGCCCAGGUGCUGCGGCUGUACCGCGCCCUGCUGCGGGAGAGCCAGCGCUUCAGCAGCUACAACUACAGAACAUAUGCCAUCAGAAGGAUAAGAGAUGCCUUUAGAGAAAACAAGAACAUAGCAGAUUCUGAAAAAAUAGAAGAACUACUGAAUAAAGCCAAAGCAAACCUAGAGGUUAUUCAACGGCAGGUACCACAACAGAGGAAUGAAGGACAUGACAGUUCUACAUUACAGCCUUUUUGAGACCUCGAACCAUAAGUCCAAACUAUAUAUCCAAGAAACUUGCAAAGGUUAUGAGAUAGUCAAGACAAGAAUUUUUGAAAAUUUACCUCUUAAUUCUGGUUCUGCCACUUACUUCAGUCACACAGAACAUCUUUUUUGCUUUUUAUCUUUACCUGUUGUCUUGGAUUCUCCUUUUUUUAAAAUAGUGGAAGUAGAAGUUAAGGAGUACUCUUGAACUUCAGUUUGUGGAAAGCUGUGCAUGUUUCAUCCCAGUUGCAGAGGAGCUUUGACAAGGCAAGAAAAGUGUUUUAAUAUCACCUUCAAUGCCACCCUUGCCUGUCAUAAUGAGAAAGAUGCCUGUUUAGUGACUGCUUUUUCCCAGCUCAAGCCAGCUGCCUCCAGCUAGACCUUUCUUUGGGUAGAUCAAUCACCAAAUUGCAUAUAUAUCUCUUGGGAAAUUCAGUGUGUGUGAGCAGUAAGUACAAACAUCAGUGAAAAUUCCCUAUUUCAAAUUUUUCACUGACUUUGAAAGAUUUGCUAGUCAUCCUCGUAAUAUUUAACAACCAUAAAUAAAGAACACUCU